rfam:Oryza barthii chromosome 3, whole genome shotgun sequence.
UUUACCGUUAACCCUAGGUUUCCGUGUCCAACUUUGACUGUCCGUCUUAUAUGAAAUUUUUUUAUAAUUCGUAUUUUCAUUGUUGUUAGAUGAUAAAACAUGAUUAAUAUUUUAUUGUGAUUUGUCUUUUUAAUUUUUUUUAUAAUUUUUUCAAAUAAGACGGACGGUCAAACGUUGGGCACAGAAACCAGAGUUUCUCUUUUU